CGAAGGGAGUGUUAUGCUGACUGCGCGUUUUAUUUUCAUAGAACGAUGCGUGUGCGAGCCAGCGUGUGUGGAGCCGCGCGGGGGCGCGCUGGGUCCGCGGACGCAGCUCCGAGCCGUUGGUCAGCCGCUCGCGCCCCCCUCAAUCGGCAGCGCACUACGCGCGGUAACGCCGCACACCAUCUGGCGGAACACUUGCGCCCGUCGUCGGUCGCACGACAUCCUCGCAAUCACUGAUUUCAUUGCAAGACAAGCAAAUCAUUUCUCUAUUUCGUGUGGAACUUAUUAACUGAUUGAUGGCCUCACUGGAAGCGUGGUAAUUACAUCAUUUUAUUACCGAAUUCCGGCCAAACGUUACCGCUCUAGCCUGGACGCUUAGCCGACUUUAAAGUGACUUUUUUUGUUACUGAAUUGCCACUGUUUGCCUUGAAAAGGCAUUUACAGAUUCACCGGGCUUGAAGUGGCCGAGCGCAGAUGGCGCUUAGCCUAAAUCUCGUUUAUAGGUAACUAAGCUCGAGGGCUAGGCACGGGCCGUUACCUUGUUAUUACCGGAUGGGGAAGCCGCCGAGCUCUUAGGUCGCUUCGAACGUACUUAGUUUGUGAGAGGGUCUCGAAACAUAGUCCUCCACCUAUGUGGCACCAUGACUCUUCAGACUUGGCUCGAUUGAGAUGUCAAAUGAUUUUUACGAGUAAAUUUCCUUGUGUGACUUGGCCUCUCAUCGUACACGCAAUGUUUUUCAAUUUAGUUAUUGUAAGUGUCAUAUACACUUACUUACAAUAACUACAAGUACCUAAACUCAAGAGCAUUAAAACCAGGUCACUUAAAAAAUCAAAAAACCUGUCAUGGCCAUGUAGAAGGAGUGAAGUGGAGGAAAGAAGAAUCUCAUAAACUAAGAAUUAAACAGUGUUAAAUAGACAUUAAUACUCUUAUACCCGUUAAAUUAUAAUAAUAAUAUACUCGUAUGUUAGUCAGUACAUUUUAUUAAUUGAAAAUUAUAUAAGUAAAAAACUCUCCUUUAAGACAAAAAUAAAAAACAUGUUAACUAUAUUUGUGCAACAAUACGAUUUUCAUUCAUUUUAAUUUUUUUUUCAAUAUUUUUAAGCAACACGGAUAGUAUCUAUAACAAGUUGCGUGUGACAGACACAUAGGAGUAGUUGGUGUUUUUAAUUAACCUUGGUAACUAUUUUCGAGGUUUAUUAAAUUGGAUGUCUUGUAUACAUACAUACGUGUAGCGAGUAUUGUAAGAUUGUGACAGUUAGCGCGGGCAGGGGCGGCGGGGCGGCGGGGCCGGGGGGCAGGGAGCAGAUGUCGCGGCGAGGCGAGCGCAUUCCGCUGCCCGUGCCGGCUGCUCCACGGCCAAACGGGUUUCAUAGCCAUGGCCAUGAUGAAGUCGACGACACCUUAAUGAUAAUAUACGAUAGAAGAGCUAUUUCGAGAGCAUCCGUCGUCGCGGAGCCGCCGCACUGCCGCCACUCCCGAACCCGGCUUAUUCCACCGUCGCCAGCGACCAGAGGCGGCAGAGGCAGGGGCAGGGGCAGGGGCAGCGGCAGCAGCCUCAGCGACUGCAAAAUAUUUCUGAUGAGAUAAUGGAAAAUGUACAAUAGCUUGUUAUAUGAAUUUAUCGGCAUAUUUUUAAGCUUAACAGGCAAUAUAACUAAUAAUACUGAUAAAGUGUUUCGUAAAACGGCGCUGAGGAAUCUUGUGACGAAUCAUGUUGGUCUGGAGGGCGCGGCGGUGACCCGCGGUGUAGAACAUGUAUUACUUUUAUAAUUUGGUUUAAUAAAGAAGUUUGCAACUACUGAAA